AGGAGGAAAGAAAUGUUAAACAGCAUUCUUCUCCGAAGGAUCUAGAACCCACUUCCACUUCCUGUAUUUAAACGAUUUGUACAAAAGGACAAAUUUUACCAGCGGUCACCGGGUCUCCCAACUGUCAUUGCGCCCCAGAGCCCCCAAAGCGGGGGGCGGGCAGGCCGUGGUUUAGACGAGGAGGCCGCCCUUCGCCUUAUUUCUCCAUCAGAGAGGAUGUCUACACCGGAACCCACUUCCUCUUUCCUCUCGUUUUAAGCCGCUUUAACCUCCGUUUUAACCCACCCUCUCAGAAGGAAAUUAACAGAUAGCUCCGAGGCCCGGGGAACCGGCGUCCCGCCCCAGACUCGCGAGCUAACGCGGCCCUCGGCCCCGCCCGCGCCAACGCGCCGCCCGCCCCGCCCUGCCCGCGCUCUCACGCCGCUCCUCGGGGCUCGCUGGCUGGGCCGAGCGGGUGCCUAGCGCACCGGGCCGGCCGGGGAGGGCCACGCCGGAGCCGGGCUGGCGGAGGGCGGGCCGGGGCCGCUGCCAGGAUCCAGCUGGGUGCUGGGCCAGGGCCAAACGCUCGGCCCGCCAUGGAGGUGGAGGAGGCGUUCCAGGCGGUGGGCGAGAUGGGCAUCUACCAGAUGUACCUGUGCUUCCUGCUGGCCGUGCUGCUGCAGCUCUACGUGGCCACGGAAGCCAUCCUCAUUGCGCUGGUCGGGGCCACACCGUCGUACCACUGGGACCUGGCGGAGCUCCUGCCCAACCAGAGUCACAGCAACCAGUCGGCUGGUGAAGACCAGGCCCUUGGGGCCUGGCUCCUGACGGCCAACGGCAGCGAGAUGCACAAGCAUGUGCACUUCAGUAGCAGCUUUACCUCCAUCGCCUCCGAGUGGUUUUUAAUUGCCAACAGAUCUUACAAAGUGAGCGCAGCAAGCUCUUUUUUCUUCAGUGGUGUGUUUGUGGGAGUUAUCACUUUUGGUCAACUCUCUGAUCGCUUCGGAAGGAAAAAAGUCUAUCUCACAGGUUUUGCUCUUGACAUCUUGUUUGCUAUUGCAAAUGGCUUUUCCCCCUCCUAUGAGUUCUUUGCAAUAACUCGCUUCCUGGUGGGCAUGAUGAACGGAGGGAUGUCGCUGGUGGCCUUUGUCCUGCUGAACGAGUGUGUGGGCACCGCCUACUGGGCACUCGCAGGGUCAAUUGGUGGCCUCUUCUUCGCAGUCGGCAUCGCCCAAUAUGCCCUGUUGGGAUACUUCAUCCGUUCCUGGAGGACCCUAGCCAUACUGGUUAACCUGCAGGGAACAGUGGUCUUUCUCUUAUCUUUAUUCAUUCCUGAAUCACCUCGUUGGUUAUACUCCCAGGGUCGACUGCGUGAGGCUGAAGCCGCUCUGUACCUCAUCGCCAAGAGGAACCGCCAGCUCAAGUGCACCUUCUCACUAACACACCCGGCCAACAGGAGCUGCAAGGAGACCGGCAGCUUCCUGGACCUGUUCCGUUACCGGGUCCUCUUGGGGCACACUCUGACCCUGAUGUUCAUCUGGUUUGUGUGCAGCCUGGUGUAUUAUGGCCUCACCCUGAGUGCAGGUGAUCUAGGUGGAAACAUUUAUGCCAACUUAGCCCUGUCUGGCCUCAUAGAGAUUCCAUCUUACCCUGUCUGCAUCUACUUGAUUAACCAAAGAUGGUUUGGUCGGAAGAGGACAUUGGCAGCAUUUCUAUGCCUCGGAGGAUUGGCUUGUCUCAUUGUCAUGUUUCUUCCAGAAAAGAAAGACACAGGUGUGUUUGCCGUGGUGAACAGCCAUUCCUUGUCCCUGCUGGGAAAGCUGACCAUCAGCGCUGCCUUCAACAUUGUGUAUAUCUACACCUCGGAGCUAUACCCCACAGUCAUCAGGAAUGUUGGGCUUGGAACUUGCUCCAUGUUCUCCCGAGUUGGUGGGAUCAUUGCUCCCUUCAUCCCCUCACUGGUUGAAGUAUGUGCAGUGGUCUUUACCCUUCAUUGUCUUUGGAGCCACAGGGCUGACCUCAGGCCUCCUGAGUUUAUUAUUGCCAGAAACCCUUAACAGCCCAUUGCUGGAGACAUUUUCUGACCUUCAGGUAUACUCAUAUCGGAGGCUAGGGGAGGAAGCAUUAUCUUUGCAGACCUUGGAUCCCCCUCAGUCUGUGGACAAGGAGAGCCCUUUAGGGAGCGAGAGUGACGAAGAGGAAGAGUUUUAUGAUGCGGAUGAAGAGACUCAGAUGAUCAAGUGAGGAACCCCCAGGUUCCUCCUCAGAAGCAGAGGAUCAUUUUCUGUGCCUCUGUCUAGGGCAGGUGCUCCUGGGAAAUUGCAGAGAGCUGUGGAAAGAAAGGCUUGAACAAACAGAAGGUACUCUGUGUGGCCUGAUGUUUUAUAGGCACCAAGGAAGUUGGAGAAGAGAUUUCCAUGAACCGGACAUCACUGCCUUGAGUAAAAAGCUAUUAUUUGCCUACAAUUGAGGUAUAGUGCAGAAUCAUGACCUUUGGCCAGAUUGCUCAAUUCUGCAUGCCAGAGUGGUAAGCUCAGUUGUUUCUAGAAGUUUGAUUAUGUUGCCUUUCAACUUCAUUGUGACCUAAAGGCAAAUAUGUAAAAUUUCUUCUCACCGUUAAGAUGGAAUCUGUGUACCAGAGUUGGCAUCUGCCCCUCUAGCGGUUGCUCCUCACUAGGAAUCUUUGGAGGCAAGUUGAUGUUAGCAUUGCAUUCAUUUUUGUGCCAGAAGAAAAGCAUUGAGAAAUCAUUUGUAUGACCUGAGGCCCUCCAGCUUCAGCCCAGGAGAUGAAAUCUGGGCCCUCAACUUGGUCCCUGGUCCAGUGAUUGGUUCCAGCUCCUUGUGUUAGUCUGACAGAUGACCCACUAGAAAAAUCCAGCUGCACCAAAGUAACGUUCAGAGUCCGAGGUGUGGCUGCACCCCCUCCAACCCCCCAGCAGCUCCCUCUGAUACUCAAAUUUCCAUCUCAGAUUCUAGUACCAGCAAAACUUCCAGACAUGCCCAGUAAAUGAUGACAUUUUUAUAAAGGGGAAGGGCAGUUAAAAAGUGACAUGUCGAGCCCUUCUUUUGAGCCCUUGGAUGCUUAAAGGGGAGAAAAAAGAUGUCGUUUUUAAUAAGGAAGAAAAGAAAAUGAUCUUUCACAAUGUUAUGUUUGUUUUGUCUUUAGUGUUGUGCAAGGAGGGACUUGGGCAGCCUUUAAGGGCUUGAGCUCCUUUAGUCCUAGGUCAGCCCCAGCCUACUGAGUUUAGCUAGAAUGGAAGGCACAGGAAUUUCCUAGGAAAUGUUGGUUUUCUUUAAGUACUACCAGCUUUCAAAUAAAAUCUGUCGUACUCUGUUUCCUUAAAUCAUGUGCUGGAAGUGUUUCCUGUGAAACUCGAGUGUUAUCUCAAAAAGAAGUGUUAUCUUGGAGUCAACAAGCUUAGACAGCGUUGCUUUAGGUCAGUUUCCCAACUGGGACCGUUUCUGUGUUUUCAGAAUUUCCAUUUCUGCUAAUCUCUUGGAGAAAAAGAAAUUUCAUUAGAAAUAGAAGUCAUCACUGUGUCUGUUUCUGGAAAUCUUGGAGGACUCACCUCGAAUUGGCUCCAACCCUCUCCUGUCUUCUUCCAUUUACCUCUUGGUUUGUACUAUACUAGCCUGAACCUAUGUAUUUGUUAAAGUGUUUUAUAUCCUUCAUGCCCUUAUGUAUGGGGUUCUUUAUAAAUAAGAAGCAUCUCUACUGCUGUUUAUUUCUCUCCGCUGUGCCCAGAACACAAUAUGUAUUGCUGUUUCUAGCCGUCAAGGAAGUUGUAGAACUCCUGUAGUAUCGUUUUUGUCCAUCACAGGCGAACCUGACCCAAACCCCCAAGCUGUGGAAUCUUGGCAUCUUUCUCUGGGAGAUGGAGACCCUGCCCACCAUCAAGAGAAGAAGAAAGGAAGAACUUACAAGGACACUUAGAAGCUCUUUGUUGUGAAGUUAAACGUAAAACAACAAGCUAACAUAUAGGUGAUUCUUGGCUGGUUGUCAGCCUCUUUGCAUUAUAAGAGUAAUAACCCCAUUAUCAAAAAAUGUGGAAAUUAGAGGUUAAAAGAUGUAUUACUCAUAGACUCAAUACCCAGAGACAGCCGGUGCUGUGGCUUUGUUCUCUUUGAAGACUAACUGGUAAUCCAUCUUUUUUGUUGGCACUGGGGUUCCCUCUGCCUCUGACUAGAUAAAUAAGGACUCCAUUAGUUCUGUCCCUGGGUAUUCUCUUCUUCCAACUCUAGGAUAGAAGAAGGGAGGGAAGGAAAUACAGUUUGAAUACAUGUUGCUAAGGCUGGACUACCAGCUGCUCAUGUCAGAUGUGUCGCUAAAUUUCUUUAGUGUUUCUUUCUUGAUGAUCUUUUGGCAAAGUUUAAUAAUUUGCCUUUUGUAAAAACAAAUUUUGUUUCCUUUUGCUGUUAACUGUGGAAAAAUAGUGAUUGUGGAGAUUGUGCACAUGAGUACAUUUGUGUUGAUUAAAUUAUUGGAAAACUUAAUUUAUAGGUAACAUAUGUUGUUUGCUCAGAUGAUUUGUAAAAGGUUUUCUUUUAAAUGUCUUUAUUGUAUUCAAAAGUAAAUUUCUUUUCUCCAAAAAAGCAACAAGAAAAAUGUAAGACACAUGAGAAAUCCCAGGGCUUCCAGGAUCUAAGGUCUUAUCAACAGCUUGUCCAGAACUUAAGCACCACACAGAUGUCUUGAAAGAAACUGUGCUAUAGUUUUUUGAUCAGUGAAUUAAAAACCACUGCCCAUUGAAAAUGCAGUAUUUGUCAUUUGGCUGAUUUCAAGUGAUAACAGACAUUCUUUAGUAUCUAAAAAUAAAGAAAUAAACACAAAUACAAUAAGUAAGAAGCAAAUAAAUUUUCCUGGGACACUGCCCAAGUAAAUGUGAUCUGGACAAGUAUUUUUGUAGAGGUCAAAUUGAUAAAGAUACUUCUCAUAGAUUUAUAUUCUUAACAAAAACAUUGCAAUAAUUCUCUCUACUAAACCAGAAUUAAAAUGCGGCUUUCUAAUAGAAGUGACUCCUCCAUUACAAUUUUUUAUUAUAUCAUUAGUUCUUAAAUUGGAUAUCUAGAAAGGAUUUUUUUUUUUCAGUACAUAAAAUGCAGCUUUUUUGGCUUCUUGUGAAUAUGAUAGAGAAUUGUAAAACAUAGGCUUUUUCUUAUGUUCUUACAGAAUAUGUCAGAGUGUAUAUAGUAGCAUCUUUGACAAAUUGAGCAAAUAUAGAAUAUGUUAGAAACUAUGGGUGGUUUGUGGGACAGGGGCUAUAGCAAGUUUAGGGAGUUGGUGGAUGCAGAAGAUAACUAUAAAAAUAUAUCUAGAAGGAGAAAAAGGCAAAGAUAGGGCAUGGUUAGAAAAUUUAUCUGUGUAGUAUGUUAGAGGGAAAGGCCUUAUGGUUAUCUCAGUGGAUGUGCUUAGUUGCUCAGUUGUGUCCGACUCCUUGCGACCCCAUGGACUGAAGCCCGCCAGGCUCCUCUGUCCAUGGGAUUCUCCAGGCACGAAUACUGGAGUGGGUUGCCAUGUCCUCCUCCAGGGAAUUUUCCCAUCCCAGGGAUCGAACCCAGGUCUCCCACAUUGCAGGCAGAUUCCUUACCAUCUGAGCCACCAGGGAAGCCCAUCUCAACAGAUACAUGAAGAUUACCUGACAAAAUUCAACACCUAUUUAAAAUAAAAGCUACUAGCAGACAAGUAAUAAAAGGGAACUUCCUUCACAGGAUAAGGGGUAUUGUAGUACAUAAGGUUAAUUGGGACAUAAGAUCUUGUCACUUUCCCAGAACUUUGGCCUUCAGACUUUAUUGAUAAUGACCACAAUAAGAAAUGGAUUCUUUCUCGUCCUUCUUCUUCCACCUCUUUCUAAUCUCUGUUUCUAUUUCUCUUUCUUCUUGCCUUACAAAUACCUACUAGAUGAAAAUGUUUAAAAUACUUUAAAAUAUGUAUAUAAAACUUUCAUGAAACAUGUUUGUUCUUAAGAUAGUUUAUAUUCUGUCCCAUUUUGUUUUUUAAAAUGCCAUUUGUGAUCCACUAAACCAAUGUCAUGACCUACUAGAAUAUAAAAAUCCAUGGUUCUUCUCUGUCUUCUUGUACUGCAGAGGCUUUAAAGCUAAGAUGUACAUUUCCCAAACACCCUUUGCAGCUAGGCUUCUAGGUGCAAUGAAGUUUCCGUCACUCAGAUUCAGAUGGAAUUGGGAAUGUGGGAGUGGGCUGGAGACUGUACUUGUGGUGGAUUAUUUUUUCCUACUGGGGUCUACAAAGAUGGAGGCAUUUGGUUUUGCUGAGGCAGUUUCAGCAGAGAUGUUGACAGUCAGGGGCAACACAUAUUAGAACCUUAAUAAGAUUUUAUUUUUUUUUUUUAACACAGAACCUGGAAAAAUAACUCUGGUUAAGGAAAAAUAAAGAUUCAAAAAUACUCAACAAUCCCAAAAACAUAAGACAAGCAAGAGACUUGACUUCCCAGAUAUUAAAACUUUUUGAAGCUAUGGUAUGAGUGUAACAAUAGAUAAGCAGAUCAGUAAAACAUAAUAGAAAUCUCAGAACAAGGGAAAGGAUAUAUAACGGGUUUGGCAUUUUUUGAAGAUGGUAUAACAACUCAGUGGGGAAAAAACUGAACAAUUAUUGUUGUGGCAACUAUUGGGUUUCCAUAUCAAAAAAUAAAAUAAAAUUAUACCCUUUCUACAACCAUAAAAAAAGUUCCAAAUGUGUUGAAGAACUUAAUGGAAAAAGGCAAAACUUUAAAAAAAAUUAUAAAAUGAUAUAGGAGAAUGUUCUUAUGACCUUGAGGGACAGAUGGAUUUUUCAGACAGUAAAAAUCACAAAUCAUUUUUAAGAAGAUGGGUUGAUAUGUUUCACUACAUCUAAAUUUAAAACUUCUUUCUAUAUGACUAGACACACCACAAAAUUAAAAGCAAAGCAAUAGAUUAGGAAAAGAAUAUUGGCAACUUCUGUAAAAGACAAAGAUCAGUAUCCAGAAUGUAGAAAGAAUUAGUGACGAUCAGAAAGAAAAAUAAGGAGGAAGCUUAUAAAAUAUAUUUUUAGGUAAUUUACAGCCUCACUAGAGGAUCAGAGAAAUGCAAAUUGAAACAAUGUUAAGUUAUUCAAAAUCCAUUAGAUUGGAAGAAAAGAGUUCUAAAACAACAUUUUAAAGAUACAAAGAAGAAGGAGUUUCUCUACAUUCUGAUAGAAGUAUAAAUUUACUUAUCAACUAGAUUGUCAAUAGCCAGUGAGGUUGAAAAAUGUAAACGUUCUGUGACACAGAAAUUCUACUUCUAUAUCUAUUAAUGUGUCAUAGAAGAGUUUUCAGAUAUUUUGAAGAAAACUGUUUCACACCGUGCCACACAUAGUACACAAACCUACAUAUCCAUAUCCAUAUGUACAUAUAUAUCACCAAUAAUUUUUUAUACAAUAAUAGCAUUACUAGAUGCAUUGCAUUGUAUUUUAUAUGCUAUUAUAUUUUACUUUAAAAUGAAUAUUGGUGAAGACACACAAAAAUGAUUUCACAAUUCAUAAGCAAAUAAAAGCAUGCAAUUGCAAGAAGUGAAACAUAAUACCUUUCAUAUUUACCUUAGUACUUGCCUAGUGUGCUUGUCUGCAAGUAGACAUGUACAGAGAUGUCCAUUAUAGUUGUAAUGAAACAAUGGAAUUAAAUACCUUCAGUAGGGAAAUGUAUGGAUACCAUUUUAUAUUCAGGAAAUGGAAUUAAACCUGGGACUUCCAUGCACAGUGGUGGAUGGAUGUUCAAUGUUGAAUCAAAUGUUAGCUAAUCUUUUCUAGACCAAAGUUAUUUCAUGGUUAAAUUCUUUAGUGAGUGACAGGAGAAUUUGCCAGUUAAAGAGAUCCAAAUGCUUUUUAGGCCAUACUUUACAGUCAAGACUGUUGUUGUUCUGUUGCAGAAAUACAAGUCUCACCAUUAUCCCUACCCAAAUGAAGAGUUAUCCCCCUUCCCUCUACAUCUGAAUUUCUCUUGGAAAAGAGCUUCGCAUCUCUGAAAACAUUUAGACCACUUCUCAACCGAGACCCUAGAGCUCUGUAAUAUAAAUCUUAGAAGAGAUUAGUUAUUUAUUGAAAAACAUCAGGGGCAGAUGUAGCCAAAUGAAUAUUAAAAUAACUUCAGUCUGGACCUUGCAGAACAAUUGAUUUUGAAUAGACUAGAUUCUGAUGGAAUUGCUUUGCUUCAAAAUAUAACUGGGUGAAAUGAUUGUGUAAGAUAGGUAAAGAUGCACACUCAACUUGGAGGUGAAUUUAAUAAUAAAUGAAUGAUUUACCAGUAUGUGGGCAGAGUUUCCAGAAACCACAGAAGAGAAGGCAGUAUGCAGAAGGAAGCCCAUUGAUACAGUCUGCACAGGUCAGCCUCCUAGGCCCAGCACAGGUUGAGGACUGGAUCUACGGAGGUAAACUGUUCAGCACUGGGAAACAUUUGAGAGUUGGUAAAUAUAUGUCACACCAGAUUAUGGUUUUUAAAUUGUAGAAGCUGCGAUAUGCUUGCUGGUGAUGAUACAAUAGAUUCAUUUGCUUCCGAGAGCCACUUUAACUAUUAUAGGUACAUUUCACCAUGUAUAGGAUGUUUGCUUUCCUAUUUGCUAUAGCAGGUGGCAUGCAUCCAUUUAGUUGUGUGGCAGCAUCCAGUUAUGUGUGUGUGAAUGUAACAGCGGAGGGACUGUAAAGCAGCGAUUCACUUUCAAAUAAAAUUAUUCCCAUACUGUGUAUUAUCAUUAUGUUUUCCACUGUAGUUUUCUCUGAAUGUGUACUAUAACCAAGAGAGAAGACAAAGAGUAUUUUGCUUCUACAGGUAGAAUAGCAGCAGAAUACACUGGUGGUUAGGAGAUGUCAAUCAAACUAACUUUUCCAUAAAGAUUCCCAAGACUCCUUUAAAAAAAUUUAUUUAUUUAUUUAUUUGUCUGUGCUGGGUCUUUGUCACUGCAUGGACUUUUCUCUGGUUGUGGCGAGCAGGUGCUACAUUCUAGCUGCAAUGCCCGAGCCUCUCGUUGUAGUGGCUUCUCUUGAUGGGGAGUGCAGGGUCUCGGACACACAGGCUUCGUAGGGGCAGCACAUAGCCUCAGUAGUUACGGCUCCCCAACUCUAGAGGACAGGCUCAGUAGUUGUGGCCCACGGGCUAGUCGGCUCCAUGGCAUGUGGAAUCUUCCCAAAUCAGGGAUGGAACUGGUAUCUCCUGCACUGGCCAGCAGAUUCUUGACCACUGAGCCAGCAGGGAAGCCCCCAAGAUCCUUUUUAGUUUACAUAAGUAAUUGGAUGCUGUAUUAGUUUCCGAUUGCUGCUGUAACAAAAUAUCACAAACUUUAGACAACACAGAUUUGUUCUAUUAGAUGUUUGGGAGUCAGACGACAGAGUGAGUUUUAAGGGGUUAAAAUGAAGAUGUCAGCAGGGCUGUUUUUCCCCCUGAGUCUUCAGGGGGAAAUCCGUUCCUUUGUCUCCUGCAACUUCUAGACAGUGCAGCAUCCCUUAGGCCUGGCCACAGCACCCCAGCCUCUGCUCCUGUUGUCUAACAUGGCCUUCUACUUGCUCUGAUCUGCCCCCUUCUUAUUAGUACCUCUGUGGCUACAUCAGGCCCUCCCAGAUGAUUCCAACUCAUCUCUCCAUUUCAAGAUCCUUAUCUGCAAAGUCCCUUUUGCCGUAAAAGGUAACAUUCACAGGUUCUGAUUAGCAUGUGAAUAUCUUUGGGGGCCAGCAGUCAGCUUAUUACGGGUGUCUUAAGUGCAUGUCACUGAAGUUUUCUAAGUGGACAGGACCUGCUGGCAUCAUCAGUGUAUACUUGUAAGUUUUAUGGGAAAACCUAGUCAUCAUCAAGAUAAGCUGGACUCAGACCAUGGGCAACCGCCACAAAUCUACAUUUAUUAAUGAGUUUAUAGACACAGUUGGCUAAACCUGAAGUCUCCCAGUUAUUGUUUAAAAGAAUAAAGUGCUUACAAAAGAAUUUAAGCCUAC